GUUUAAAAACUUUUUCGCGAGAUGCUAAACCCCUUUUUGUUAUUCUCUAAUCUAUUAAUCUUUCGGGAAAAUUUUGUUUUUGUGUCGGAGAAUAGAUUUUGGAAAGUCUAAUGUGAUCUCAAAGUGCAUUAUUUUCAGAACAAAAUUUCGUGCCGAUUUUUUUAAUUUACCCAGAACUACUACAGUCGCGUGAAUUUUGUGCCGUUUUUUUUGUUUGAGUGUUGAUUUAAAUCUCAAAAUAAAAGACUAUGGAUUUCGCCAGAUUGUCAUCUAAUCAUUAAUCAGGAGAGUGCAAACAAGAGGUUUAAGGCGUCAUUGUUAGGCCCCAAUUUCAAAAUUCGACUUUGAGAAAAAUCAGCAUUGAUAGAUUGAUGGCUGCAAAAUAAUGCACAAGACAAAUAAAUUCG